rnacentral:ncRNA from 1 species
AACCAGGUGGUUUACACGUAUUAAUAUGGUUCAGUCUAGUUGUCAAUGGCUUCAUGGACUGGCUCUAGGUAUGGAUUUGAAUGGUCCUAGCUUUCCUCUAACCUAGCCUGAGAAAUAGCUAUCACAUCCAAGGACGGCAGCAGGGGCGAAAAUUACCCACCCCCGGCACGGGGAUGUAGUGACGAAAAAUACGGAUACGGGACUCAAUUGAGGCUCCGUAAUUCGAAUGAGUACAAUUUAAAUCCUUCAACGAGGACCAAUUGGAGGGCAAGUCUGGUGCCAGCAGCCACGGUAACUCCAGCUCCAAAAGCGUAUAUUGAAGUUGCUGCAGUUAAAAAGCUUGUAGUUGGAUCUAGGUCGUGCGGUCGCAUGCCGCUGCUUGCUCACGGUUUUGGUUACAAUCAGGACGUGUUCAGCUCGGUGUAGUAGCUGUGCAACCUUUUAGCCGUGUCUGUGUUAAACGGGUGCUGGUGGGUUGACGAGUUCGUCUUGUUGACCUGUUGGCAUGCUUCCGGAUGCCUUUAAACGGGUGUCGGGAGCGGAUGGCAUUUUUACUUUGAACAAAUUUGAGUGCUCAAAGCAGGCCUGUGCGCCUGAAAAUUAUUGCAUGGAAUAAUGAAAUAGGACUUCGGUUCUAUUUUGACGGUUUUCGGAUCCGAAGUAAUGAUUAAGAGGGACAGACAGGGGCAUUUGUACGGCGGUGUUAGAGGUGAAAUUCUGGGAUCGCCGCCAGACAAACUACAGCGAAAGCAUUUGCCAAGAAUGUUUUCAUUGAUCAGGAGCGAAAGUCAGAGUUUCGAAGACGAUCAGAUACCGUCGUAGUUCUGACCAUAAACGAUGCCAACUGACGAUCCGCGUUGGUUUUAUAAUUGACAUCGCGGGCAGUCCCCGGGAAACCUUUAAGUCUUUGGGCUCCGGGGGGAAAAUGGUUGCAAAGCUGAAACUUAAAGGAAAUGACGGAAGGGCGCCACCAGGAGUGGAGCCUGCAGUUUAAUUCGACUCAACACGGGAAAAU